rnacentral:ncRNA from 1 species
AGGUCAUCAAGAGCAGUUAAGAGACCCGGCUCUGUGAAGCUGCAGCAACCCGCCAGACGGGUGCUAAGGCCGGGAACGAUGGGAGAUCAAUGAUCG